GGAUUGGAAUGGGCGCAGCCUGAUCCAGCCAUGCCGCGUGGAUGAUGAAGGCCCUAGGGUUGUAAAGUCCUUUCGGCGGGGAAGAUAAUGACGGUACCCGCAGAAGAAGCCCCGGCUAACUUCGUGCCAGCAGCCGCGGUAAUACGAAGGGGGCUAGCGUUGCUCGGAAUCACUGGGCGUAAAGCGCACGUAGGCGGCAUCUUAAGUCGGUGGUGAAAUCCUGGAGCUCAACUCCAGAACUGCCUCCGAUACUGAGAUGCUUGAGUCCGGGAGAGGUGAGUGGAACUGCGAGUGUAGAGGUGAAAUUCGUAGAUAUUCGCAAGAACACCAGUGGCGAAGGCGGCUCACUGGCCCGGUACUGACGCUGAGGUGCGAAAGCGUGGGGAGCAAACAGGAUUAGAUACCCUGGUAGUCCACGCCGUAAACGAUGGAUGCUAGCCGUUGGCAGGCUUGCCUGUCAGUGGCGCAGCUAACGCAUUAAGCAUCCCGCCUGGGGAGUACGGUCGCAAGAUUAAAACUCAAAGAAAUUGACGGA
rnacentral:rRNA from 1 species